rnacentral:rRNA from 1 species
AGAGUUUGAUCAUGGCUCAGAACGAACGCUGGCGGCAUGCCUAACACAUGCAAGUCGAACGAGACCUUCGGGGUCUAGUGGCGCACGGGUGCGUAACGCGUGGGAAUCUGCCCUUGGGUUCGGAAUAACAGCGAGAAAUUGCUGCUAAUACCGGAUGAUGACGUAAGUCCAAAGAUUUAUCGCCCAAGGAUGAGCCCGCGUAGGAUUAGCUAGUUGGUGAGGUAAAAGGCUCACCAAAGGCGACGAUCCUUAGCUGGUCUGAGAGGAUGAUCAGCCACACUGGGACUGAGACACGGCCCAGACUCCUACGGGAGGCAGCAGUGGGGAAUAUUGGACAAUGGGCGAAAGCCUGAUCCAGCAAUGCCGCGUGAGUGAUGAAGGCCUUAGGGUUGUAAAGCUCUUUUACCCGGGAUGAUAAUGACAGUACCGGGAGAAUAAGCUCCGGCUAACUCCGUG